rnacentral:rRNA from 1 species
AUUGAACGCUGGCGGCAGGCCUAACACAUGCAAGUCGAACGAGUGGCGGACGGGUGAGUAAUGUCUGGGAACCUCCCUGAUGGAGGGGGAUAACUACUGGAAACGGUAGCUAAUACCGCAUACCAUCGGAUUUGCCCAGAUGGGAUUAGCUAGUAGGUGGGGUAAAGGCUCACCUAGGCGACGAGCCCUAGCUGGUCUGAGAGGAUGACCGGACACACUGGAACUGAGACACGGUCCAGACUCCUACGGGAGGCAGCAGUGGGGAAUAUUGCACAAUGGGCGCAAGCCUGAUGGAGCCAUGCCGCGUGUAUGAAGAAGGCCUUCGGGUUGUAAAGUACUGUCAGCGGGGAGGCGUUACCCGCAGAGGAAGCACCGGCUAACUCCGUGCCAGCCGCCGCGGUAAUUC